GGGGAAGGGAAGGAGUACAAAGCUUUGCCCCUGUAUCCAGGCAAAGGUAACAAGCAGUGAAGCAAGAAGUUGACCUUGAUUCCUUCCCGACAUGUGUAAGCCAGGCCAUGGAUGCUCAGAGAUUAAGCAUGUGCAAGGCUGACAUGGAUAGAUUUUUGGAUAUCAGGAUAUGAGAAUCUGGUAGAAAAUGGACUCAAGGGUACAGUGUCAGGCUUGAUCUUGUUCAGCGAUGAAGAAAUCUCAAGUAUUUCCCACUUCAUUAAAGCAUUGAUACAAGGGGCCAUCUCCAAGAGACCUGGACUGCAGCUUCCUUCUACACUCAUCUGCCUGUCAAUCUACAUGUCGGGUGCAGGGAGGUCGUUGGAGCCAAGAGGAGGAAGACAAUUAGAAUGAACUCCUGCCAUGAUAUGUGGCAGGAUCUUUGUGUCUCGGGCCCUGAGGAGCGCUUUGGCCCCAGCAGACUCUCCCUCAAAUACAAAAGCCGUUAUCUCAAGACUGUUGUGAAUUGCACUGGGCUGGUGUGGGGGUGCUGGCGAAGAUCAGGACACUUAAAAGUAGCGACACUUUCAUACGUCGGAAGAACCUGAUGUACCGUGGAUGGAAGCUCACUCCUGUGUUACAUAAUUGAGAGGUUUCAGCUUCAUGAUUCUGCAGUACACUGCACAGUGAGAAGCCACACAGGUCAACACGAAAGUAAUAAUCAUCAGAUUAUUAUUAAUUAUUGAUGUACCCAAGGAAUGGAGGGCCAUUUCAAGAGUAAAUAUUCAAUGUUUUCACGUUUAAUGUUAUUAAUUUUUAAACCACUCUCAGGAAUUAUCUUGCCCCAAGUGAAUUGCUAAAGAUGACAGUAUGUUAAUGUUAUCAGGCACCAGGUUCCUGUAUCAGUCUAUUAGUGCUGGCUCUUCCACCAGUGAAAUUUACAGUCUCACACUGUUUGCACUAAUGAUUCAAAAUGGUUUAAUGUCAU